GGAUGAACGCUGGCGCCGUGCCUACUCCAUGCAAGUCGAGCGAACAGACGAGGAGCUUGCUCCUCUGACGUUCGCGGCGGACGGGUGAGUAACACGUGGAUAACCUACCUAUAAGACUGGGAUAACUUCGGGAAACCGGAGCUACUACCGGAUAAUAUAUUGAACCGCAUGGUUCAAUAGUGAAAGACGGUUUUGCUGUCACUUAUAGAUGGAUCCGCGCCGCAUUAGCUAGUUGGUAAGGUAACGGCUUACCAAGGCAACGAUGCGUAGCCGAUCUGAGGGGGUGAUCGGCGACACUGGAACUGAGACACGGUCCAGACUCCUACGGGAGGCAGCAGUAGGGAAUCUUCCGCAAUGGGCGAAAGCCUGACGGAGCAACGCCGCGUGAGUGAUGAAGGUCUUCGGAUCGUAAAACUCUGUUAUUAGGGAAGAACAAAUGUGUAAGUAACUAUGCACGUCUUGACGGUACCUAAUCAGAAAGCCACGGCUAACUACGUG
rnacentral:rRNA from 1 species